UCAAACGAGAGUUUGAUCCUGGCUCAGAAUCAACGCUGGCGGCGUGCCUAACACAUGCAAGUCGAACGAGAAAGUGGAGCAAUCCAUGAGUAAAGUGGCGACCGGGUGAGUAACACGUGACUAACCUACCCUGAAGUGGGGAAUAACCUCGGGAAACCGGGGCUAAUACCGCAUAACAUCGCGAGCUGUAAACGCUUGUGAUCAAAGGAGCAAUUCGCUUUAGGAGGGGGUCGCGGCUGAUUAGCUAGUUGGUGAGGUAACGGCUCACCAAGGCAAAGAUCAGUAUCCGGCCUGAGAGGGCGCACGGACACACUGGAACUGAAACACGGUCCAGACUCCUACGGGAGGCAGCAGUGGGGAAUUUUGCGCAAUGGGGGAAACCCUGACGCAGCAACGCCGCGUGGAGGAUGAAGUCCCUUGGGA
rnacentral:rRNA from 1 species